GGAGCAGCGGCGCGGCGACGGUGGCGCUCGCGCCCGGUGGUUUAAACUCCAAAAAAGCGCCGAAGCAACGCCGCUGUACGGCCGUAGCGUCAACAGAACGGUCCGGAAGUUUCAGCUUGUACACUCGGGAGGUUUUCCUCACGUGCUUCAGGAUUUAAUUGCAAUUUCUCCAGAAGCAUUUUUCCACCAGGUGAUGGAUGAAGCAGGAGCUGCAGGUUGGGCAAGAGGAUGGUGAAAUCUCUACAGCAUGAUGGGGAGGGAGUGUGUACGAAUCUUCACAUCCUUCACGUUGACUGAAGAGGUCAAAUACACCUGGUUUCUCCUACAGGGACAUUAGCUUAUUCUCCUGCAUUUACCUCUUUGCACGUUGUUGAGAACAGUGUAUGAAUGGGGUGGAUGAUCCCGGCUCCGUGUGAGGAGAGCCAUCUUCAGCAGUUUUGCCUCCUGCCAAACAAGGAUGUGUUUUUAAUCUGUCCUUUUGGUGCCCGGAGGAAGAGCACAGGUUCCCUCUGCUCCCUGCAUCUGCAUGGCAGAGGGCAUGGAUUGGCCCUGAGUAAGGCAUCCUGAGAGACAACCAUCUGGCUGUCAUUAGUUUGAUUUGAUGGAAUUGGACAAAUGUAACAAUUAGCAUGGUAAAAACUCCUAAUUAAAUAAUUUUUAAAAAAGAUAAUGAUGAUUGAGGAUGGAUGGGUUUUUAAUUUUGUGCAUGAAUGAAAGAACACAUUAAUUAAAACCUUGAGUUUAUUUAUGUGCUAUUCUCAUUUUGUAGCAAGCUGCUCCAAGAUCCCUGAACCUGGCUGACAGCUCACGUCUCCGUCCUGCAGCCCCAAGUUCUGCUAUGCUACAUCCCUCUCCUCUCCUCUCCUCUCCUCUCCUCUCCUCUCCUCUCCUCUCCUCUCCUCUCC
ensembl:lncRNA